rnacentral:rRNA from 1 species
CCUACGGGAGGCAGCAGUAGGGAAUCUUCCGCAAUGGACGAAAGUCUGACGGAGCAACGCCGCGUGAACGAUGAAGGCCUUCGGGUCGUAAAGUUCUGUUGUUAGGGAAGAACAAGUGCUAGUUGAAUAAGCUGGCACCUUGACGGUACCUAACCAGAAAGCCACGGCUAACUACGUGCCAGCAGCCGCGGUAAUACGUAGGUGGCAAGCGUUGUCCGGAAUUAUUGGGCGUAAAGCGCGCGCAGGCGGUUUCUUAAGUCUGAUGUGAAAGCCCCCGGCUCAACCGGGGAGGGUCAUUGGAAACUGGGAAACUUGAGUGCAGAAGAGGAAAGUGGAAUUCCAAGUGUAGCGGUGAAAUGCGUAGAGAUUUGGAGGAACACCAGUGGCGAAGGCGACUUUCUGGUCUGUAACUGACGCUGAGGCGCGAAAGCGUGGGGAGCAAACAGGAUUAGAUACCCUGGUAGUCCACGCUGUAAACGAUGAGUGCUAAGUGUUAGAGGGUUUCCGCCUUUAGUGCUGAAGUUAACGCAUUAAGCACUCCGCCUGGGGAGGUAGGUCGCGAGACGAAACGUAACGUAAGUAAGUUAGUUAGUAGUUGAGAGNGCGACGACGACGACGACGGAGGAGGAG